UCCCAUGUGGCUCAGUUGGUAUAGCAUGGCGCUUACAAAGCCAGUGUUGUGGAUUCAAUUCCCACGGGGGAC
rnacentral:tRNA from 1 species